UACGUAGGGCGCAAGCGUUGUCCGGAAUUAUUGGGCGUAAAGAGCUCGUAGGCGGCUUAUCACGUCUGCUGUGAAAUCCCAGGGCUUAACCCUGGGCCUGCAGUGGAUACGGGUUGGCUAGAGGCAGGCAGGGGAGAACGGAAUUCCCGGUGUAGCGGUGAAAUGCGCAGAUAUCGGGAGGAAUACCUAUGGCGAAAGCAGGUUUCUGGGCCAUCACUGACGCUGAGCUGCGAAAGCUAGGGGAGCAAACAGG
rnacentral:rRNA from 1 species